AGACACAGCAGUCUUCAGCGUCAGAUUGGGCACACAGGAAGUCACAUGAUAUACACACGUGACUGUGCACUGUCUGACUCUGGACUCUGGAGGAGCAAGCUGUCGUGUGAAGAGGAGCAGCCAGCCUGUGUAGCAGCCUGCAGCCCUAGUAACCAGCCACAGAGGAGCUGACUGAGUUUUACUCAGCAUUAUAUGCAUGCAGGAGAACUCAUGUGACAUUUCAUCACUUGGAUUUAUUUAUGGAGGAAUUCCUACUUACCAUCUUACAGUAUGCUUAUGGAAACUACCUUAUUAAAGAAAUCUAUACAGCUGCCUUCUGACUGGGUGGGAUAAAAGCUAGAUGGUGCUUUGGACAUCCAACGGCACUGAGUAUCAUCAUGGAGCGUGACUGCAGAUUCCAGAACUGUACCUGUCGAUGACCACGCUAAACAUCAGUGGGAUUCUGUGAGAUAUUGUUUAUGAAGUGUUCCUGGUUUGUCAAUAAGGAUGUUUUACAUGCCAUUUUAAAUUGUCUGUUUUGUAGGUGCAAUCUGUAUUAAAUCUGCUUGACUUGUAAA